GGGCGGGUAAACAAAAUCAUGUUAUGUGACGUUGUGAAAUAUUACUGCCUCGAACUGGCAAAACACACAACUGGUAUCUUUAUGGUAUUUGGUCUAUUUUACCCUUUGAUAACUUCUUGAGAAGAUGCUUCCAGCACAUGCAGUCUUUCAUUUCCUUUGGGAAGUCAACUCUGGUGCAGUCAAUGAGGGAGAUUCAGUGAGAACACUUGGAAGAUUGAUGAAUAUAGAAAAGGCUACACUAUCUAUCCAGCACCACGUUGUUGUUCAGACUACAUUUGUGGAACCCUUUGACCCCAUCAUUGGAUUGAAAAAGCAGAGGGAGGUGAUGGCCCAUGCCCGUGGGCUGAACUGUGUGGAUGGGGUCAACCUAGUCCUGCUACAGAGAGGUGUCAAUGAACAGAGGAGCUACUUCAGAGAGAGGGGGGAGAGCAAGGGAGAUGCUGCUACUGCUGCCCGGCCACCUGCUCCUCUCUGACCUGGACCCCCAUAAGAAUUCAUCUGAUACAGUGCUACUAGUGGAAAGUUAUGAACCAGGUGGAAUUUAAUGACAUGUUGUAAUGUUUAUAUGACCUCAGAUGGAUCGUGUUAAAAGGUCAGAUUUUUUAUGGUCGGGACAUUUUCCCAAAUAGCCGAUUUACAUGGGGAUGUCAAUAAUUAUGAGACUCUGCCUUUCGCUAAUUUAGAAUGGCAAAGGGUGGAAUUGGGAUAUAAAAAGACUGGAGGAAAUCCUGAUUCGAUACACAAAAGCUGCUUGUUCUGGUGCACUGUAAAGUCCUGCCAUUAUUUGUCAUACGAUAUCAAUUCUGGAAGUCACCCUCUGACAGAGUUAGGCAGGUUCACUGAAUGUUGGGUCAGGUGUAUGAAGUAGAUCAAGAAAAUGCAUACUUAUGUUCUUAUUGUAGCUAAUCUAAGAUAAGACAGAAUGUUUGAUGUAGCCAUUUAUGCAAUGGUUAUAUUUGUGAAUGAAAACUGAUAUGUAGCUUGGAAAUGUUUAUUUGUGAGAAACAAAUAAAAUCUUCUUGAUUUGA